GGUCUCGUGGCCCAAUGGCAAGGCAUCUGACUACGAAUCAGGAGAUUGUGGGUUCGACCCCCACCGAGGCCU
rfam:Stachybotrys chartarum IBT 40288 unplaced genomic scaffold scaffold550, whole genome shotgun sequence.